rnacentral:rRNA from 1 species
GUGGGCGGAGGGCGACUCUCUGGUCUGUAACUGACGCUGAGGAGCGAAAGCGUGGGGAGCGAACAGGAUUAGAUACCCUGGUAGUCCACGCCGUAAACGAUGAGUGCUAAGUGUUAGGGGGUUUCCGCCCCUUAGUGCUGCAGCUAACGCAUUAAGCACUCCGCCUGGGGAGUACGGUCGCAAGACUGAAACUCAAAGGAAUUGACGGGGGCCCGCACAAGCGGUGGAGCAUGUGGUUUAAUUCGAAGCAACGCGAAGAACCUUACCAGGUCUUGACAUCCUCUGACAAUCCUAGAGAUAGGACGUCCCCUUCGGGGGCAGAGUGACAGGUGGUGCAUGGUUGUCGUCAGCUCGUGUCGUGAGAUGUUGGGUUAAGUCCCGCAACGAGCGCAACCCUUGAUCUUAGUUGCCAGCAUUCAGUUGGGCACUCUAAGGUGACUGCCGGUGACAAACCGGAGGAAGGUGGGGAUGACGUCAAAUCAUCAUGCCCCUUAUGACCUGGGCUACACACGUGCUACAAUGGACAGAACAAAGGGCAGCGAAACCGCGAGGUUAAGCCAAUCCCACAAAUCUGUUCUCAGUUCGGAUCGCAGUCUGCAACUCGACUGCGUGAAGCUGGAAAUCCCUAGUAACCCGGAUCAGCAUGCCCGGGGUGAAUACGUUCCCGGGGCCUUGUCACA